UACGGAGGGAGCUAGCGUUGUUCGGAAUUACUGGGCGUAAAGCGCACGUAGGCGGCUUUUUAAGUCAGGGGUGAAAUCCCGGGGCUCAACCCCGGAACUGCCUUUGAAACUGGAGAGCUAGAAUCUUGGAGAGGCGAGUGGAAUUCCGAGUGUAGAGGUGAAAUUCGUAGAUACUCGGAAGAACACCAGUGGCGAAGGCGACUCGCUGGACAAGUAUUGACGCUGAGGUGCGAAAGCGUGGGGAGCAAACAGG
rnacentral:rRNA from 1 species